rnacentral:rRNA from 1 species
UGAUGCAGCGACGCCGCGUGAGGGAUGACGGCCUUCGGGUUGUAAACCUCUUUCAGCAGGGAAGAAGCGAAAGUGACGGUACCUGCAGAAGAAGCGCCGGCUAACUACGUGCCAGCAGCCGCGGUAAUACGUAGGGCGCAAGCGUUGUCCGGAAUUAUUGGGCGUAAAGAGCUCGUAGGCGGCUUGUCACGUCGGGUGUGAAAGCCCGGGGCUUAACCCCGGGUCUGCAUUCGAUACGGGCUAGCUAGAGUGUGGUAGGGGAGAUCGGAAUUCCUGGUGUAGCGGUGAAAUGCGCAGAUAUCAGGAGGAACACCGGUGGCGAAGGCGGAUCUCUGGGCCAUUACUGACGCUGAGGAGCGAAAGCGUGGGGAGCGAACAGGAUUAGAUACCCUGGUAGUCCACGCCGUAAACGGUGGGAACUAGGUGUUGGCGACAUUCCACGUCGUCGGUGCCGCAGCUAACGCAUUAAGUUCCCCGCCUGGGGAGUACGGCCGCAAGGCUAAAACUCAAAGGAAUUGACGGGGGCCCGCACAAGCAGCGGAGCAUGUGGCUUAAUUCGAC